UUAAACCGGUUCAAUUCUAAUUAAUAUGGUCAAUUAAAACUAAAAGCAAGAAUUAAUAAGAAAUGGAUUAUGGUUAACUUGUUGUGGCUAUUCAGUUGCUUUGGACCGAGUUCCUCCUUCCCCUUUCUCGCUCGCGGCGGCCGUAAUGGUCUUCUUCUCUGGCGAAUCCCACCGAGCACCCCCGUGAAUGGUCCGGCCACGACCUCUCAUCCUCACAUUUAUCCGCUCGUCCCUGAUUCGUUCAACACUCUCAAUUGCUCAUCUCCGUUCAUAUCCGAUUCUAAAUCUCCGUCUCAGCUUCUCAAUCUCUCUCUGACUCGCACCUCUCGAUCUCUCUUCGGUUUCUAGUCGGAGAUACUCCGACGGCUUCUUCAAUCGCAACGUUGGGGAAAGAAGCAUCAUAGGCCUUCAUCAGGUAUGCAUUCCUCUAACCACACUCGCACUCUUUUCCUUCUACAUUCCUCUACUUCUCUUUGCUUGUUGAUGCGUAUGCAUUGUUAUGGUGAUGUUGAAAGCACCGAAGGUGAAGAUUAGCGAAGUGCAGGGAUGAUUAAAGAGAUUCUUGAAGCUUGUUAAUGAUUGUGUAGAAUCUUCAGCGUAUUGAAGAUCGAUGUGUGACUCAGAGGAAAUGAUGUUCUUGAAGGUUUUGAUUGAAGCAUGAUGCGGAGGUGUUGAAGAUUGAUGAAGAUUCUUGGAAAGAACGAUUUUGAAGAAGCUUGAGAGUUAAUGAUUCUGUUAGAGGUUUUUUAAAAUAUCAAUUCUGUUACGAUUAGAGAUGAUGAAGAGAUGAAGGAUUGUUUCAGUGGUUCUUUUUUCUGUGAGGAUUGCAAUCGGUGAUUGAAGGGAGAUGAAGAUUCAAGCCUUUGUGACGGAUUCUGAAGGUGAUUGGCGAAGAGUUUUCUGCAGAAUUUUGAUGAGUUCUUUGAGAUUGAAGAUGAUUUUCAGAGAGAGAAUUCUGUUACGUUUUAAUGUUAUGAACUUAUCUCUUUUUUUUCUCAGUUCUGUUAUCUUUUCAUGUGAACGUGUGCGAAGAAGAUCAAGAAGGUUGAGAUGAGUGAAGAUUGGAGAAGGUUGAGAAAAGAUGAAGAUUGUUCGUGAGCGAUGGUGGAGGAUUGAUGAAGGUGGAGAAGGUUGAAGAUAGAAGAAGAUCCGGAUUUUUGGUUGAGAAGUUUGUUGCGUUUUUGCUCAGAAGGUGAGAGAGAGUUGAAGAGAAUUUGGUUAUCUCAGAAGAAAGAGGGAGAGUUCGAUAUUGUAUGAAGAUGGUGAAAACGUCAAUGAAUCGAGAGGGUUAUGAAUUCUGUUACAGGCUGCGGGUCAGUUUUCUUUUUGUUGGUUAUGUAAGCUGGUUUUGUGCCGCCACUUGAAGAUGGCAAAGAAUUGGAUCAAGAAUUGGCAUAGCAGGAUGAAGAUGCACAUGGGCUUGGGAACAAUUUUGAUGUAAUCUAUUUUUUUUUAUGGUUUUUCCUUUGUAAUAGACUUGGACCUUUAGAAUGGUGUAUUGUAUUGGACUUUGAAUUGAAAUAUGGUUGAAUGAUCUUGAAACUUGUAUAUCAAAA